AGUAAUGCUUGGGAAUCUAGCUUAUGGAGGGGAGUAACUACGGGAAACUGUAGCUAAUACCGCGUAGAAUCGAGAGAUGAAAGUGUGGGACCUUCGGGCCACAUGCCAUAGGAUGAGCCCAAGUGGGAUUAGGUAGUUGGUGAGGUAAAGGCUCACCAAGCCGACGAUCUCUAGCUGGUCUGAGAGGAUGACCAGCCACACUGGGACUGAGACACGGCCCAG
rnacentral:rRNA from 1 species